AUAAGCUCCACCAGGGCAAGGAUCUCUUGUUUUGUUCGCUGCUUUAUCCCAAACGCCUACAACGGAUGGCAGAGUAGGCGCUUAAUAAUAUUUGUUGAAGGACUGGGAACGGGGGAGGGUUGAAGAGGAAUCUUAAAUGGAGCUGACAGUCUGCUGCGUCGCAGAAGCUCGUUUGCUUCCCCUCCCCCAUCCUUGGGAAGCUAGGUGUGGGUCCUGGAGGAUAAAGUCCACCUACCAGUUCCUUAGCUAGGCUGCAAAGUCUCAGCAUUCCAAGGGAACCUUUAUAUACAGAUUAGAGUCAUCAAACCGGCCCUUGCCCUGGGGAGGAACAGCAAAAAAGGUGUGGGGCUGGCUCCGAAGAGGAGGGUCCCUCCAGGACCACAUUGUCUCCAGACCACUGGAGAGGUUUUUUAAAGAGUUGGUUUUUUGUUUUUUGUUUUUGAAAUGUGAGAUUGAAUUGACCCAAAUAUUGGAAAAGUGGAAACAACUAAACUCUCCUGGGUAACAGCUUAAUAAUUAGGAUACUUAGUGUAUUUGUAGUAAAUACAGAGUUAGGGUAGUAAAAGAGACACCCCACCCCAGCACUGUCAACACAGAUUACAAGGAAAAACCCAGAGGCCUCUGAGUCACCAUCUUUGUCGUCUGUUCCUGAAGGAAGCACUCUGACUCAGAGGGACACCAUCAUCAGGCGCUGGUGGCAAAGGUGACAGAUGCUGAGGCCUUUUUCCAGAGUUUGUUACCUAAUCAAAGUGGGUUCAACUCCAGGCGAGUUAAAUCAGACUCUCCACCAGAAGUAGUUUCUUACAAAGUAAAGUAUAUUUGUGGCAAAUAGGAGACCAUGGGAAUCAUUUCCACAGUCGUGGUGUCCCUGAACAAAGGGGAGCGGGGACUUUUUAUUUCAGAUGGGGAGUGAAUAUUCAAAAGGGAGCGGUGGGUAUUCACUUGCACAGGCUCAGUUGGAAAACCUGCUUCCACAUACACUGCAGGUUAUGGGAGCAAAGCCUAAGCUCCUCCUGGAGAGAUCUUAGCAUUAAAAAUAGGGCAAAGGUCAUAGACCUAGCUUUUGUGGUGAGGUUUGGCCUGGUUCAGGGUGG
rnacentral:lncRNA from 1 species